ACAGUGCAAAUAUUGCCAUGUACUCCAAUGGGAGCAGUAAUUUUACUAGGGCCUUAUGCAGCUUCUGAGCAAAUAUCUGUCUCACCUGGUAACAUUCAUCCUAGAAGAGGAAAAAAUGAUGAAAUCUACAUCUCACAACUGCAGACAAGGUAUUAAACUACCUUUGCUAGAACUUCUGGAGAAACCUCUUCAUCUGGAGACCAUAAUUUCCCGUUUUUCUCACCUGUAGACUACAAAGAUUUACACAGAAUUGAAAGCAGUUCAAAGAAAAAAAUGUGCAAAAUAACUUUUUUUUAAAGGGUUUGAAUAAACUUUGUAUUCUUUUCACAGGCUCUUAUCAGAUAUUUAUAAAACACUUCUUCAUUUUUUCCA